UGNGGAAGGAGUUUAAUAGGUACUAAGUGG
rnacentral:piRNA from 1 species